rnacentral:rRNA from 1 species
AAUGGGCGCAAGCCUGAUGCAGCGACGCCGCGUGGGUGAAGACGGUUUUCGGACUGUAAAGCCCUUUUCUAGGUGACGAGAGUGGACGGUAGCCUAGGAAUAAGUCUCGGCUAACUACGUGCCAGCAGCCGCGGUAAAACGUAGGAGGCAAGCGUUAUCCGGAGUUACUGGGCGUAAAGCGCGUGCAGGUGGAUUGAUAAGUUACUCAUGAAAGCUCCUGGCUAAACUAGGAGAGGUUGAGUAAAACUGUUAGUCUAGAGUAGAUGAGAGGUAGGUAGAAUUCCUUGUGUAGUGGUGAAAUGCGUAGAUAUAAGGAAGAAUACCGGUGGCGAAGGCGACCUACUGGCAUCUAACUGACACUCAGACGCGAAAGCAUGGGUAGCGAACGGGAUU